rnacentral:lncRNA from 1 species
GCCACCACAUAUACAAAUAUAACAUCACUAUAUAAACUUCCAUGACUUUACCCUUCCUUAUGUCUACAAAGCCUCUAGGAUAUACAUGACAUAACUAGGGUCGGGACAAACCCCCGCCCACACAUGACUCCUGUACAAUAACAAAACAUAAGGGACCGACUCGGAAAGCUCCGAAGCAAACUGGAGCUCACCAACAAUAGCUGUAUGACCUGGCUCCUAUCUAUGCUGUGAAUGAGUUGAAGCACCUGUGCCUGCAGCAUGAAAUGGAGGUCCCCCGUGAGGGACGUCAGUACGAAAUAUGUACCGAGUAAGUAAAGCUGUAAAUAAUCAUAUGUGGUAUGGGGGAUCAAGAAAAUUAGACGCAAGUGAAUAAAUCAUAAUAGAAGUGAACCACACUUCAUAAACACUUUUAGGAUCAUGUACAUUAUCUUAUCAUUAAUCUGAAUUGGGUUCUUGAAUUCAAACACAUUUGUGGAACGGUAUACAUUCGUUCAUUUCAUUCUUUACAAUUAUCAUUCGCCAUUACCUCCUCCUCCCGAACCUCCAACCACCUAACAAUAAUCAAUACUGUACCGUACUUUGACCAUUAGGCUGGCCCCAGUACAUAUCAACUGUAAUCAUAUCAAAUAUCGGGAUCGGCCCAUGCUAGGCUUAAACCCCUGAGUUACCACCCACACGUAUAUCAAGUAACACACAUAAGAGAUCUUUCCAAUAACUUAGUUCAAAAGCUUUUGAGAUUAUUACAAUAGUGUUCAUGCCAAUAUAGUAUCUUUGGAAUAAUAAUACAUCAAUAGGAACCAAGUAAUAGACUUUCUAUACAAUAACGAUGUAAUAAAGACUCAUUGGUACAUCAACAACGUGUUUCGGAAUCAUCAAUAUCACAACAAUGAAAUAGGAGCCUUUCGGUAUAUCAAUGAAACAUUUUGACACUUUAUAGAAUGGAAACAACUUCGUUGGUAAUGUAGAACAAUACAUGUUUUUGGACAACCUCGGAAUCUUACUUGAUGGAACAUUGGUGUUUUCAUGCCAAAGAACAUCGUUAGAGUAUGCUUUACAUACCUCGUUGUAGAUUCGGAUACCAAUUCAACACAACUUCCCGCCUUUACAAAUCACUUAUCUACAAUGAAAUGUUUGGCAUCUAGUAUUAGCAACCCAACACCACAAUUCUCU